GCCUGGGUGGCUCAGUCGGUUAAGCGCCCGACUUCGGCUCAGGUCAUGAUCUCACUGCUCGUGGGUUCGAGCCCUACAUUGGGCU
rnacentral:tRNA from 1 species